rnacentral:rRNA from 1 species
AAAUUGAAGAGUUUGAUCAUGGCUCAGAUUGAACGCUGGCGGCAGGCCUAACACAUGCAAGUCGAACGGUAACAGAAAGAAGCUUGCUUCUUUGCUGACGAGUGGCGGACGGGUGAGUAAUGUCUGGGAAACUGCCUGAUGGAGGGGGAUAACUACUGGAAACGGUAGCUAAUACCGCAUAACGUCGCAAGACCAAAGAGGGGGACCUUCGGGCCUCUUG